rnacentral:rRNA from 1 species
UGCUAAGGCUAAAUACUACCUAACGACCGAUAGUGAACCAGUACCGUGAGGGAAAGGUGAAAAGCACCCCGGGAGGGGAGUGAAAUAGUACCUGAAACCGUGUGCUUACAAAUAGUCGGAGCACUUUCUAUGUGUGACGGCGUGCCUUUUGUAGAAUGAACCGGCGAGUUACGAUAGCGUGCGAGGUUAAGUCGAAGAGACGGAGCCGCAGCGAAAGCGAGUCUGAAUAGGGCGAAAGUACGUUGUCGUAGACCCGAAACCGUGUGAUCUAGCCAUGUCCAGGGUGAAGGUAGGGUAACACCUACUGGAGGCCCGAACCCACGCACGUUGAAAAGU